AUCCAGUUGACGAAUCCCAGAAAGGACGAAACACGAGUCAUGCAU
rnacentral:hammerhead_ribozyme from 1 species